AAUUAAACCCGAAGAUAUACGGGCU
rnacentral:rRNA from 1 species